UACGAAGGGGGCUAGCGUUGCUCGGAAUCACUGGGCGUAAAGCGCACGUAGGCGGCUUUCUAAGUCAGGGGUGAAAUCCUGGAGCUCAACUCCAGAACUGCCUUUGAUACUGGAGAGCUUGAGUCCGGAAGAGGUGAGUGGAACUCCGAGUGUAGAGGUGAAAUUCGUAGAUAUUCGGAAGAACACCAGUGGCGAAGGCGACUUCCUGGCCUGUUCUUGACGCUGAGGCGCGAAAGCUAGGGGAGCAAACGGG
rnacentral:rRNA from 1 species